AUUGAACGCUGGCGGCAUGCCUUACACAUGCAAGUCGAACGGCAGCACGGGAGCAAUCCUGGUGGCGAGUGGCGAACGGGUGAGUAAUAUAUCGGAACGUGCCCAGUCGUGGGGGAUAACGCAGCGAAAGCUGUGCUAAUACCGCAUACGAUCUAAGGAUAAAAGCGGGGGAUCGCAAGACCUCGCGCGAUUGGAGCGGCCGAUAUCAGAUUAGCUAGUUGGUGGGGUAAAGGCACACCAAGGCGACGAUCUGUAGCUGGUAUGAGAGGACGAACACCACCACUGGAACAGUGGCACAGGCCAGACUCGUACGGGAGGCAGCAGUGGGGAAUGUUAGACAAUGGGCUCGAGCCUGAACCAGCAAUGCCGCGCGCAGGAUGAAGGCCUUAGGACCGUAAACUGCAUUUGUACGAAACGAAACGGCCAUUUCUAAUACAGGGGGCUAAUGACGAUACCGUAAGAAUAAGGACCGGCUAACUACGUGCCAGCAGCAGCCGUUGUAA
rnacentral:rRNA from 1 species